rnacentral:rRNA from 1 species
GGCCUAACACAUGCAAGUCGGACGAGAAGGUUCCUUCGGGAACUGGAGAGUGGCGCACGGGAGAGUAACGCGUGGGGACCUACCUCUUAGUGGGGGAUAACGGUUGGAAACGACCGCUAAUACCGCAUACGCCCUUCGGGGGAAAGAUUUAUCGCUAAGAGAUGGACCCGCGUUGGAUUAGAUAGUUGGUGAGGUAACGGCUCACCAAGUCAGCGAUCCAUAGCUGGUUUGAGAGGAUGAUCAGCCACACUGGGACUGAGACACGGCCCAGACUCCUACGGGAGGCAGCAGUGGGGAAUAUUGGACAAUGGGGGCAACCCUGAUCCAGCCAUGCCGCGUGAGUG